rnacentral:lncRNA from 1 species
GCGGCAAGGGCGAGAGGAAACUUCAAAGGCACUUCUGAAUAAAAGAACACACGGUGGGACAUCAAUUAUUUACCAGGCAAAGUUUUGGCAGGCACAGGGGCCUUUCCCUGUUUGUUUUGCUGAAGCGGGCAGGAAGAGUGAUUUUGGAGGUUGCAUUGUGCCUGCCCAUACCUACCACUGUGGCCACAAAGGUUUGUCGAGCUCUGUCUAGACUCUUCCUUGGUACUCUGGCCCUGCACUGAUUCGAUAAAGAGUGACCAGGAUGAUAUUACUCAUUGAGCCCUUGCUGCAGAUGAUGAGUGAAGGUACAGAAAAGUUAGAUGACUUGCCCAGGGUCCUUUGGCUGGAAGCUAGCAGAUCUGAGACUUGAGCCAGGCCUCAUCUCUCCAGAGCAGACCCCAGUAUUUUGUAUGGAUGAGUGGAGAUGAAAAAUUAACUGAGGAAUUCAGAUAUAUGGUGGAUUUGCCAGACCCUACUUGCAUACAUGGGCUCUGUUGGCCUCCUCUUUGUAUACAGACAUCGCUGUCAACACCAGCAGAGGAAACAUAUGAAUGGUGGCAAUUCUUUGUUUAUUUUGCUUAUCAGUAAGUAACACACUUGUUGCAAA